UACAGAGGUCCCAAGCGUUGUUCGGAUUUACUGGGCGUAAAGGGCUCGUAGGCGGCCAACUAAGUCAGACGUGAAAUCCCUCAGCUUAACUGGGGAACUGCGUCCGAUACUGGAUGGCUUGGAUUUGGGAGAGGGAUGCGGAAUUCCAGGUGUAGCGGUGAAAUGCGUAGAUAUCUGGAGGAACACCGGUGGCGAAGGCGGCUGGACUCG
rnacentral:rRNA from 1 species